ensembl:lncRNA
GGGAGCAUUAGUAGCAUCUGACUGGGUGGGUGAGGCCAGGGAAAACUUUCUGUCUUGAAAGUAAACAAACCAACAAAAACCUAAGGUUGAGUAAUUGUUGAAGCUAAAAUAAUGUCUUGAGAGUGGUUUCUCUCUCCUUUUGCAUGCAUCUGAAACUUUUUACUUUAAAAACAAAACCACAGUAACAGAAACUCUGCUCACUGUUUCUAACUUCCCCCAAAGGGUCAUUUUCAUCUGACACUGAAGAUCACUCACGACAUGGGCACUAGCAGCAUUCCACUGUACGUCACAACUGCUUCAGCCAUUCUACACUGGAGGGACGUUUAUAUUGCUCUGAACAUUCUUGUCCGCGUUGCCUGGAACACCUGUGGGUUUCUCUGGGGUAUUCUACAGCAAAGAGUGAGACUACUGGCCCCUAGCUUUGUGCAUCUUCACCUUCACCAGUUCAGAAUGGAGUUCAGGAGUGCUUUGCAACACAGACCAGCAUAUUUUUUUGAUCAAGGACUACAUAGUCCAUAUUUUGGGCUGUGCAGACCAGACCAUCUCUGUUCCGACUACUCAACACUGUUGUUGGAGUGCCAAGGCCAUUGCUGACAAUGCAAGAAUGGAUGAC